rnacentral:rRNA from 1 species
UACGUAGGGUGCAAGCGUUAAUCGGAAUUACUGGGCGUAAAGCGUGCGCAGGCGGUUUUGUAAGUUUGUCGUGAAAUCCCCGGGCUCAACCUGGGAAUUGCGAUGAAGACUGCAAGGCUAGAAUCUGGCAGAGGGGGGUAGAAUUCCACGUGUAGCAGUGAAAUGCGUAGAGAUGUGGAGGAACACCGAUGGCGAAGGCAGCCCCCUGGGUCAAAAUUGACGCUCAUGCACGAAAGCGUGGGGAGCAAACAGG